rnacentral:rRNA from 1 species
GACGAACCGAGCGAACGUUGUUCGGAAUCACUGGGCAUAAAGGGCGCGUAGGCGGCUCCAAAAGUCAGGGGUGAAAUCCGGCAGCUUAACUGUCGCAGUGCCUUUGAUACUGUGGAGCUAGAGGGAGGUAGGGGUCUGUGGAACUUCCGGUGGAGCGGUGAAAUGCGUUGAUAUCGGAAGGAACGCCGGUGGCGAAAGCGACGGACUGGAUCUCUUCUGACGCUGAGGCGCGAAAGCCAGGGGAGCAAACGGG